GACGAACGCUGGCGGCGUGCUUAACACAUGCAAGUCGAACGGAAAGGCCCUGCUUUUGUGGGGUGCUCGAGUGGCGAACGGGUGAGUAACACGUGAGUAACCUGCCCUUGACUUUGGGAUAACUUCAGGAAACUGGGGCUAAUACCGGAUAGGAGCUCCUGCUGCAUGGUGGGGGUUGGAAAGUUUCGGCGGUUGGGGAUGGACUCGAGGCUUAUCAGCUUGUUGGUGGGGUAGUGGCUUACCAAGGCUUUGACGGGUAGCCGGCCUGAGAGGGUGACCGGCCACAUUGGGACGGAGAUACGGCCCAGACUCCUACGGGAGGCAGCAGUGGGGAAUAUUGCACAAUGGGCGGAAGCCUGAUGCAGCAACGCCGCGUGCGGGAUGACGGCCUUCGGGUUGUAAACCGCUUUCGCCUGUGACGAAGCGUGAGGGACGGUAAUGGGUAAAGAAGCACCGGCUAACUACGU
rnacentral:rRNA from 1 species